rnacentral:rRNA from 1 species
GACGAACGCUGGCGGCGUGCCUAAUACAUGCAAGUAGAACGCACAGUUUAUACCGUAGCUUGCUACACCAUAGACUGUGAGUUGCGAACGGGUGAGUAACGCGUAGGUAACCUGCCUGGUAGCGGGGGAUAACUAUUGGAAACGAUAGCUAAUACCGCAUAAUAUUAAUUAUUGCAUGAUAAUUGAUUGAAAGAUGCAACUGCAUCACUACCAGAUGGACCUGCGUUGUAUUAGCUAGUAGGUGAGGUAACGGCUCACCUAGGCGACGAUACAUAGCCGACCUGAGAGGGUGAUCGGCCACACUGGGACUGAGACACGGCCCAGACUCCUACGGGAGGCAGCAGUAGGGAAUCUUCGGCAAUGGACGAAAGUCUGACCGAGCAACGCCGCGUGAGUGAAGAAGGUUUUCGGAUCGUAAAGCUCUGUUGUAAGAGAAGAACGGGUGUGAGAGUGGAAAGUCACACUGUGA